rnacentral:lncRNA from 1 species
CAGGCCAAGGCCCAGGGAGGCUCCUGGGGCGACAGCUGCCACCCAGCCCCCUGGCAUCCCUGCCCCCUUCCCAUGGCCCUAACACGUGGGGACCCGACUCUGGGAGAAGCAGCUGCAGGGAAAGCCUGAUAAAUCGAGGAAACCAGAAGGCCCCUGCCCACCUCUCAUCACCUCUAGCGCCAGUGGGGGAGUGGAGAGCCCCCUCUCUACACCCUACUCCUACACCCAAGGACCCAAAGAGGACCCCCACAGCAAGCAGGCUCACAGACCCCCAGCUACCGGGAAAACCGCGUGCACGCCUGCGAAUUCCAGGACCCUGGAGAAGGACGCGGCGGCUGGCACCCGCCCUGCCCCUCCCCCGCCUUCCCAAAAGUCCGCGGAGAACUUACACGACCAGGGAGGGCAUUUCGAUUCCACCCUGCCCCAGUCAUGACUGCGAAUUUUAGGGGCUGAAGUCAUCUUGGCUCUCCUGCCAGCCUCCUCCUCAGCCCCCUGCUAACACAGCACUCCAAUGCUCACUAAAGCAGCCGCCACCGAGUGACAUCACCCCUAAGAAGAUGCCCGUCACCCUGACAGUGCUGCUCCAGGGUAAGGUAUAGAGGGGAGGUGGACUUUCAGAGUCUCACAGGAGUCGCCUGAAUUGCAUCUGCCCUGGAGAAGAGCUUGCCCAUCAACCCCAGCACAGGACAACAUGAGUGUCACAGAGAUGGUGCCACAUUGAGUCUCUCCACUCCCCAAGGGAGUUCCAGGUUUUGUUCCAGGGCCUGUUUGUUCUUUGAAGGGGUCUUUAGAGACCAGGACCUUCAUUUUUCUGGGGUGAUUAGGGAAGGGGUGAGUAAGUGAGGCCCCAGAGCAGAGCCUACCACUAGCCCCAGUCCCAGGCACUCUGCUGUUCUUGAUUCAUCAAACCUUUGUGUGCUACUGGAGAGGCUGAACUGCCAGGCACUUGCCCUCCAUGUCCUGUCUUAACUGCCACUGUGGCUUUAGAGAAGGGCUCUGCUCUGACUUCCCCUCCAGUACAGGCAGCCCCUCCUGAACUCCCCACGGCACAGCCAAGACCAGGCUGCAACUUCUGACGGAACUGUCCUGAAGCUUUAGAGACCACAUGAGGGGCAUCUAGAGGGGACAGGGCUCUCGGGGACAGGACCAGGCCCAUCCUUACGGGGUCCCUUACUGCACAGCUUCAGAGACUAGAUCCAGACCCACUGGUGAGGCAUGACAUCAAAUUACUGGGCGACAACCAGCAUUAAAAAAAAUAGGUUGGGCACAGGCGCUCAUGCCUGUAAUCCCAGCACUUUGGGAGGCUGAAGCAGCAGAACCGCUUGAGCCCAGGAGUUCAAGACCAGCCUGGGCAACAUAGCAAAACUUUGUCUAUAUAUAUAGACAGACACACACACACACACACACACACACACACACACACACACACCUAUAUAUAUAACUAGCCAAGUCAGGCACAGUGGCUCAUGCCUUUAAUCCUAGCACCUUGGGAGGCCAAGGCAGGAGGAUUGCUUGAGCCCAGGAGUUCAAGACCAGCCUGGGCAACAUAGGGAGACCCCUUCUAUACAAAAAAUAAAAAAUUAGCUGGAUGUGGUCGUGCACACUUGUGGUCCCAGCUGCUUGGGAGGCUGAGGCAGGAGGAUCACCUGAGCCCAGGUGGGUUGAGGCUGCAGUGAGCCAUUAUUGCACCACUGCACUCCAGCCUGUAUGAUAGAGACCCUGCUUCUUAAAAAAAAUUGACCAGGUGGGAUGGUGCACACCUGUAGUCCUAGCUGCUCAGGAGGCUGAGGUAGGAGGAUCUCUUGAGCCUGGGAGUUCAACACUGUAGUGAGCAAUUAUCGCAAAUAAAUAGAAAAUAUUGCCGGAUGCAGUGGCUCACACCUGUCAUCCCAGCAGUUUGGGAGGCCGAGGCAGGUAGAUCACGAGGUCAAAAGUUUGAGACCAGCCUAACCAACAUGGUGAAACC